AAUUCUCAAACCUUCUUGGUUUCUUGACCAAGUUGGCUUUGGACUCUGGAGGUGUUUUGCUGGCUUUGCGGAAAGUCGGCUCCUCUUAAAUGCAUUAGUGGGGUCCCCUUUGCCAAUCCCCAGGCGUGAUAAGAUGUUUCUACGUCUUGGGAUUUGCUCUGUUCAUUGGGAACCUGCUUCCAACCGUCUCGUGAGAGACAUCGUUCGAGUUUGCUCGACACACGAAUC
rnacentral:misc_RNA from 1 species